AUGUCAAACGACGAAUCCCUCGCUAAAAAAAUGUUGGGUUCCAUGAAUCUCGUUGCCAUUACCUUCUUCGUUUCUUUGAGAAUAUGCAUCUUUCUUCAAUUCCUCCACCAAUUCGCCAACUGAUGGUGGCUCAGUUGGUAGGUUCUCUGACUCGUCGGAGUAAUAACUUGGGAUCAAGACUCGUCAGAGUAGUGACCUGGGAUCAAAUCCCGCUGCCACCAGGGGUUGGGGGGUUAAGGGAAAGGGGAUGGGCUACCCCUCUUGUGUAGCUCCAUGAAGCGAAAAAAAAAAUUCCUCCACCAAUUCAGAUAACUAAAUCCCUAAUCUCAUGCCAUUAUCUUCUUGCUUCUUCGAGCCUAUAUAUCCUUUUCUCUUGACCGAUUCAGAGAACUACUUCGUGUCUUUCAUUCUCAAUGCUAGAACUGUGAAGCGAUUCGGAGAACUAUAAAGCGAGGAAGCGAUUCGGAGAACUAUGAAGCGAGGAAUAGUUGAAGCCCCGAACAUAGAGGUUGAUUUGAAUUCUAGAUCGAUUGAGAGAGGUCGAUUUGAAUGCUCGACCGAUUCAAAGAGGUCGAUUUGAAGCAAUGAACUUGUGAAUACCCCACCGUUUUGAAGAUUUGAAGCCAGAGUUUGCAGUGUACACAGAGAGUUCAAUUGAAUACCCACCGUUUUGAAGAUUUGAAGCCAGAGAGUUUGCGGUGAAGACAGAGAGUUCAACUGAGCUUCAUUCCUGUUUCUGAUAAAGAUUAUAACCAUCGCCAUCUUCUCAAGAGUCCAAAGCUCCGGUGGCACACUUCAGGUAUACUCUGUUAUGCCCUUCCCACCUCCCCUGAAGGCAAAAUUUCUGGACCAGAUUUCCUUGCAAGUUGAGAAAGGUUGCGAGUUGUCCCUCUAUUUGAAACUGUGAAGGACUUGAGAGGGGCUGGUUCAGUGAUCGGGAAGUUGUUAUCCAUUGAUUGGUACCGGGAUCAUGUAAUAAAAAACCAUAAUAGACACCAAGAGGUAUGUACUACAUUAAGAAAGGCAUAGUGAUUCUGUUUGUCAAGUCCUGGCCGCUUUACUGCUGCUUGGGAACUGUACAAAGCUCAAGGGGAUGUUGUAGCUGCCUGCAAUGAAUAUGGAAUUAAAGUUACAUUGUUUCAUGGGCAUGGUGGGAGUAUUGGUCGUGGUGGUGGCCCUACCUGUCUUGCCAUACAAUCUCAGCCUCCUGGUUCUGUGAUGUAAAUUUGACUAGUUCAAGACUUCCUAUUGUUUUUGAUUCUUCUUUGUUGCCAAUAAAACUUGACACAACCCAUAGACGGUAGGUGUUGUGUAGUCCUUAAUUUUCAAGUAGUUAGGGAAUUACCAUUCCACGUAUCUAUUUGUUUGGAUGCAAAAUUUUCUUUCUUUUCUUUGAGCUUAUUAGUUUUAUUUUGAGUACAUGAAUGAAAUGUUCUUAUACUAUGCUCAACAAGAGAAGAAAAAGAUCAAAUUCUUUACUUAUCACAUAGGAUGUCUUAGCCCAUUAUUUUCUAUUACCUCACCAUCUUCAACACCUAGUAUCCAUAUCUGUUACCAAUGUGAGUGUAUGUUUAAGCUGAUGAGUUAUCAAAAAUCACUUCCAUCUUUUAUGUCUUGGAGUAACUUGGCUGUUUGUUUGUAAACUGGCAGGGAACGCUUUGCUCAACAGAACAAGGUGAGAUGGUAGUCAAAUUAAAAUAGAAGUACACAAGAAGGGGUUAAAGUGACCUUGUAUGGCUUGAAGUUGAGUGGCUGAACACUUUGUUAUAUCAAGCUUGCAGUCAUGCGAAGUCCCAUGGGGAUCAGCAAUACCAGGAUGCAAGCAAAUUCUUUGCUGAUUGCUAUGAAAGAAUAACAAGCAUGCAGUAAGAAUAUACAAGUAAACAUUAAAAGAGGAACCCCAUAUAUAGUUGAUGGACAAUUAUAUUGUGUAUCUCCACAUCAAUGUCAGAUCUCACGACCACAGCUUCACAGCUGCAUACAUCUUCAAGGCAAUGUUUUAAAAAGUGCUGGAGGCUCUCCAUGCGACAUGCUAAUUAAUGAAACAGGUUAAGACCAUAUUUCUCCCUACAGAGAAGCCUAUGACAUCAGAGGCAUGUGCUCCACUGAUUGCAUUCUCAUCAAACUCAACUCAGAUCAGAUGAUUGCCUUGAAACGUUCCAAUUAUUCCAGCAAGAUGAACAAUCUGAGGAAGGUUGUAUAAGCCAAAGAUCGGGGAAAGAAGGCAGUAGCAGUCAGAGAUCAAAGGAACAAUAAAUUGUCAUAGAUCAAUAAAUUGUAUUUGAACAAUUUGUUUUCGAUAUUAUAAUGAUCAAUCUUUAUAUUAAUAGAUUGAGUGUUACAUUUAAACUUUUAUUUAAGUUGUUUAACUUUUCAUA